UACGUAGGCAGCAAGCGUUGUUCGGAGUUACUGGCGUAAAGGGUGCGUAGGCGGCUUUUAAGUUUGGUGUGAAAUCUCCCGGCUCAACUGGGAGGGUGCGCCGAAUACUGAGAGGCUAGAGUGUGGGAGAGGAAAGUGGAAUUCCUGGUGUAGCGGUGAAAUGCGUAGAUAUCAGGAGGAACACCGGUGGUGUAAACGGCUUCUGGACCAUAACUGACGCUGAUGCACGAAAGCGUGGGUAGCAACAGG
rnacentral:rRNA from 1 species